rnacentral:rRNA from 1 species
GACGAACGCUGGCGGCGUGCUUAACACAUGCAAGUCGAACGGAAAGGCCCUGCUUUUGUGGGGUGCUCGAGUGGCGAACGGGUGAGUAACACGUGAGUAACCUGCCCUUGACUUUGGGAUAACUUCAGGAAACUGGGCUAAUACCGGAUAGGAGCUUCUUCUUCCUGGGGGGGGGUUGAAAGUUUCGGCGGUUGGGGAUGGACUCGCGGCUUAUCAGCUUGUUGGUGGGGUAGUGGCUUACCAAGGCUUUGACGGGUAGCCGGCCUGAGAGGGUGACCGGCCACAUUGGGACUGAGAUACGGCCCAGACUCCUACGGGAGGCAGCAGUGGGGAAUAUUGCACAAUGGGCGGAAGCCUGAUGCAGCAACGCCGCGUGCGGGAUGACGGCCUUCGGGUUGUAAACCGCUUUCGCCUGUGACGAAGCGUGAGUGACGGUAAUGGGUAAAGAAGCACCGGCUAACUACGUG